AUUGAACGCUGGCGGCAUGCCUUACACAUGCAAGUCGAACGGCAGCACGGGAGCUUGCUCCUGGUGGCGAGUGGCGAACGGGCGAGUAAUGCAUCGGAACGUGCCCUGAAGUGGGGGAUAACGUAGCGAAAGUUACGCUAAUACCGCAUAUUCUGUGAGCAGGAAAGCAGGGGAUCUUCGGACCUUGCGCUUUUGGAGCGGCCGAUGUCGGAUUAGCUAGUUGGUGAGGUAAAGGCUCACCAAGGCGACGAUCCGUAGCGGGUCUGAGAGGAUGAUCCGCCACACUGGAACUGAGACACGGUCCAGACUCCUACGGGAGGCAGCAGUGGGGAAUUUUGGACAAUGGGCGCAAGCCUGAUCCAGCCAUGCCGCGUGAGUGAAGAAGGCCUCGGUUGUAAG
rnacentral:rRNA from 1 species